rnacentral:rRNA from 1 species
UACGAAGGGUGCAAGCGUUGUUCGGAUUUAUUGGGCGUAAAGCGCGCGCAGGCGGAAGUGUGUGUAAGAUGUGAAAUCUCGGAGCUUAACUCCGAACGUGCGUCUUAAACUGCAUUUCUAGAGUACUGGAGGGGGAAGGGGAAUUUCACGUGUAGGGGUAAAAUCCGUAGAGAUGUGAAGGAACACCGGAGGCGAAGGCGCCUUCCUGGCCAGUCACUGACGCUGAGGCGCGAAAGCGUGGGGAUCAAACAGG